rnacentral:rRNA from 1 species
UCGAGAAUUUUUCUCAAUGGGGGAAACCCUGAAGGAGCGACGCCGCGUGGGGGAUGAAUGGCUUCGGCCCGUAAACCCCUGUCAUUUGCGAACAAACCUUACCGGUUAAUAACCGGUGAGCUGAUUGUAGCGAAAGAGGAAGGGACGGCUAACUCUGUGCCAGCAGCCGCGGUAAUACAGAGGUCCCAAGCGUUGUUCGGAUUCACUGGGCGUAAAGGGUGCGUAGGUGGCCGGGUAAGUCUGAUGUGAAAUCUCCGAGCUCAACUCGGAAAUGGCAUUGGAAACUAUCCGGCUGGAGGAGUGGAGGGGGGACUGGAAUACUUGGUGUAGCAGUGAAAUGCGUAGAUAUCAAGUGGAACACCAGUGGCGAAGGCGAGUCCCUGGACACUUCCUGACACUGAGGCACGAAAGCUAGGGGAGCAAACAGGAUUAGAUACCCCCGUAGUCC